rnacentral:rRNA from 1 species
CCUAUGGGCGGCAGCAGUGGGGGAUAUUGCACAAUGGGGGGAACCCUGAUGCAGCGACGCCGCGUGGGGGAAGAAGCGCCUCGGCGCGUAAAGCCCUGUCAGCAGGGAAGAAAAUGACGGUACCUGAAGAAGAAGCCCCUGCUAAAUACGGGCCAGCAGCCGCGGUCAUACGUAGGGGGCAAGCGUUAUCCGGAUUUACUGGGUGGAAAGUGGGCGCAGACGGCGAUGCAAGCCAGGGGUGAAAGCCCGGGGCCCAACCCGGGGACUGCUCGUGGAACUGCGUGGCUGGAGUGCAGGAGGGGCAGGCGGAAGUCCUGGUGUAGCGGUGAAAUGCGUAGAUAUCAGGAGGAACACCGGUGGCGAAGGCGGCCUGCUGGACGGCAACUGACGUUGAGGCCCGAAAGCGUGGGGAGCAAACAGGAUUAGAUACCCCUGUAGUC